rnacentral:rRNA from 1 species
UACGUAGGGUGCGAGCGUUUGUCCGGAAUUAUUGGGCGUAAAGAGCUCGUAGGCGGCUUGUUGCGUCGACCGUGAAAACCCGUGGCUCAACUGGCGGGCUUGCGGUCGAUACGGGCGGGCUAGAGUUCGGUAGGGGAGACUGGAAUUUACGGUGUAGCGGUGAAAUGCGUAGAUAUCGUAAGGAAGACCAGUGGCGAAGGCGGGUCUCUGGACAGUUCCUGACGCUGAGGCACGAAGGUCAGGGGAGCAAACGGGG